GCACAUGCUGUGAGCUCGAUGAGUAGGGCGGGACACGUGGUAUCCUGUCUGAAUAUGGGGGGACCAUCCUCCAAGGCUAAAUACUCCUGACUGACCGAUAGUGAACCAGUACCGUGAGGGAAAGGCGAAAAGAACCCCGGCGAGGGGAGUGAAAAAGAACCUGAAACCGUGUACGUACAAGCAGUGGGAGCACGCUUAGGCGUGUGACUGCGUACCUUUUGUAUAAUGGGUCAGCGACUUAUAUUCUGUAGCAAGGUUAACCGAAUAGGGGAGCCGAAGGGAAACCGAGUCUUAACUGGGCGUUAAGUUGCAGGGUAUAGACCCGAAACCCGGUGAUCUAGCCAUGGGCAGGUUGAAGGUUGGGUAACACUAACUGGAGGACCGAACCGACUAAUGUUGAAAAAUUAGCGGAUGACUUGUGGCUGGGGGUGAAAGGCCAAUCAAACCGGGAGAUAGCUGGUUCUCCCCGAAAGCUAUUUAGGUAGCGCCUCGUGAAUUCAUCUCCGGGGGUAGAGCACUGUUUCGGCAAGGGGGUCAUCCCGACUUACCAACCCGAUGCAAACUGCGAAUACCGGAGAAUGUUAUCACGGGAGACACACGGCGGGUGCUAACGUCCGUCGUGAAGAGGGAAACAACCCAGACCGCCAGCUAAGGUCCCAAAGUCAUGGUUAAGUGGGAAACGAUGUGGGAAGGCCCAGACAGCCAGGAUGUUGGCUUAGAAGCAGCCAUCAUUUAAAGAAAGCGUAAUAGCUCACUGGUCGAGUCGGCCUGCGCGGAAGAUGUAACGGGGCUAAACCAUGCACCGAAGCUGCGGCAGCGACGCUGAUGCGUUGUUGGGUAGGGGAGCGUUCUGUAAGCCUGUGAAGGUGUGCUGUGAGGCAUGCUGGAGGUAUCAGAAGUGCGA
rnacentral:rRNA from 1 species